rnacentral:rRNA from 1 species
AUUGAACGCUGGCGGCAGGCCUAACACAUGCAAGUCGAGCGAGCGGCGGACGGGUGAGUAAUGUCUGGGAAACUGCCUGCUGGAGGGGGAUAACUACUGGAAACGGUAGCUAAUACCGCAUAUUAUUCGAGCGGCCGAUGUCUGAUUAGCUGGUUGGCGGGGUAAAGGCCCACCAAGGCGACGAUCAGUAGCGGGUCUGAGAGGAUGAUCCGCCACACUGGGACUGAGACACGGCCCAGACUCCUACGGGAGGCAGCAGUGGGGAAUUUUGGACAAUGGGCGCAAGCCUGAUCCAGCCAAGUAGCGUGCAGGACGACGGCCUAUGGGUUGUAAACUGCUUUUAGCGGGGAGGCGUUACCCGCAGAAGAAGCACCGGCUAACUCCGUGCCAGCAGCCGCGGUAAUAC